ncrna:Bifidobacterium vansinderenii SAM-VI riboswitch
CGUAUCAUUGUGCUUCGCCAUAGAGCGGGGCGAUAAGUCCGGAAAGGAAUGAUAUGUC